UUGUGCAAACCAAUCACAGUGUGUCUUCACACACUUAAAACUUCACACAAACAACCCUCACUACCCACCUCCCUCUCGAUUAUUUUUCAGUAAACAUAAAGAACUCAUGACACACACACACACAUAAAAUACCUCCCUCUCUCUCACUAUUACCUAAACAAACACAGGAAUCAACUCCUCACAAAACAAAACCCAACCCAGCCACACCCCUCCCCUCCCUCUCGAUCUUUUCUCGGUGAAGACAAGCACCCGACCGGCGAGACCACCGGCGGAGCUCCGGUUGGUCAGGUGGUGCCGGUGAGGCCCCCAUGACUCCCCCGUCUUCUUUCUUGUCUGACGGAUCGGACCACCGCCACCACCACCGUCUAGUGGUGGUGCGGCGACUAACAAACAGAGAGAGAGAGAGAGAGAGACAGAAGGAAUGGAGAGGAGAGAGAGAUAACCGGUGGGGUGGUGAGCGGUGGUAACUUCUCGGACCGGUGGUCCUCACCUCGAACUAGUGGUCCUUGUCUCGGACCGGUGGUCCUUGACAUUAUCCGUCGCGUUUCGCGAUUUAUUUUUCGUUCGGGUCUCGUAAAGUUUGGUUUCGGUUCAAAGCUCGAUCUCAGUCAGGGACGCCCGUUCGGUUAACUCGGUGGUGGUUCGGUUCAGUCGCGUAUGAGGUUCAACAGGUUUGGGUUUGUUUCGGAUAUCUCUUUUAUUUCAGCUCAGAUUUUCAGCUUCGGGUGUUUUGUUUCAUCUCAGAUCUUGGUUCGAGAGUUCAAGUCAGCCGCGGUUCAGGAAGUUCGAGUCACGGUUCGGUUUUUGGGGUUUGGGUGACGUCUCGGCUCGGGUCAACAGUCAAAGUCCGUCAACGGGUCAGCUUGGUUCGGGUCAGAUUAUGAAGCGGUUUGGUCGACUCGGUCAAACCGAGUCAACCCGGUCAAACACGGUCAACCCGAGUCAACUCAGUUGACUCGGUCGACUUGCAGCAAAAGCGGGGCGAAGACUCGGUUGCAUUUCUAAGACAAGGCACGGUUGGAAUAGGAGGACCAUGAAGAGUCGAGUACUUAGUGGCGUUCAUUUUCUAAAAGACUUAGAUUGUUUGCUUCCGCUGUGCAAUGAAGAUACCAGUCCAGUCACGCCAAUGCUCUGAUAAUUUCGGGGUGUGACAUUUUCAUCUAUAAACGUGCAAGGAGACCCAAACGGCUCCAAAAACUCAAGAUUUGGCUUAUAACGGUGCAGCAGCUCAAAGCAAGUCUUUUUAUA